rnacentral:rRNA from 1 species
GAUGAACGCUGGCGGCGUGCCUAAUACAUGCAAGUCGAGCGAACAGACGAGGAGCUUGCUCCUCUGACGUUAGCGGCGGACGGGUGAGUAACACGUGGAUAACCUACCUAUAAGACUGGGAUAACUUCGGGAAACCGGAGCUAAUACCGGAUAAUAUAUUGAACCGCAUGGUUCAAUAGUGAAAGACGGUUUUGCUGUCACUUAUAGAUGGAUCCGCGCCGCAUUAGCUAGUUGGUAAGGUAACGGCUUACCAAGGCAACGAUGCGUAGCCGACCUGAGAGGGUGAUCGGCCACACUGGAACUGAGACACGGUCCAGACUCCUACGGGAGGCAGCAGUAGGGAAUCUUCCGCAAUUGGCGAAAGCUUGACGGAGCAACGCCGCGUGAGUGAUGAAGGUCUUCGGAUCGUAAAACUCUGUUAUUAGGGAAGAACAAAUGUGUAAGUAACUAUGCACGUCUUGACGGUACCUAAUCAGAAAGCCACGGCUAACUACGUG